GUGCUCACUUUGGCAGCACAUAUACUAAAAUUGGAACAAUACAGAGAUGAUUAGCAUGAGGAUGGCAUGCAAAUUUAUCAAGUGUUCCAUUUUUUU
rnacentral:snRNA from 1 species